CAAUCGUCUCUAACCUCCAUUUCUAGCACGCCCUUCAAUCCCAAAGCCAUAAUUAUUCAUCUCCCUCUCCCUUUUCUUCUUCUUUAUCUCUUUCUUCCUUGGCUGCCUCAAUUUCUCCCCCCAUCAACUGAUUCUUCCUCUGACAAAGUUGGAAUCAACCUGGAAAUUCAACGCUUUCUGGAUCAGUCAAGGGACUUUGGACAUUAAUAAGGGAAGUUCAUGGCAAUGGGGAGAGAGGAAGUCUCACCACAGGACUUCAAAACCACUAAAAAUGAUUGGAUUCAACACGCCAAGAAGAAUAACAUACGUCUUCCUCAAGGCUCCUUUACUGACUUUGAGUGGAAAGAUUAUUGUCCAGCAGUUUUCAGAAACAUACUAGAGCUAGAGAAAAUAGAGUAUGCUGACUAUAUGUUGUCCAUUUGUGGUGAUGAGACUCUAAGAGAAGUUUCUUCGCCCGGAAGAAUUGGCAACGUGAUAUU